GGACUACCCGGGUAUCUAAUCCGGUUUGCUCCCCACGCUUUCGUGCCUCAGCGUCAGGAAAACCCCAGCCGGCUGUCUUCACUUUCGGCAUUCCGAUAGAUAUCUACGCAUUCCACCGCUCCACCUAUCGUUCUACCGGCCUCUAGUUUCCUCAAGCCUCGCAGUAUGCCCUGCAGUUCCCCGGUUGAGCCGGGGGCUUUCACAAAGCACUUACGAGGCGGCCUACGCACCCUUUAAGCCCAGUGAUUCCGAUUAACGCUCGAGACCCCUGUCUUACCGCGGCUGCUGGCAC
rnacentral:rRNA from 2 species